ACGUAACUUCCACGCUGACGGAAGAUUAGAGAUCUCGCACGUGACAGCUCGAGCGUUCCUUGAACGAUUCCACGUGCGUCGUAUAUAUACUGAGAAAAAAUGUCUGAUAUUUGUAAGUAUAAUUUCACAAUAAGUAUGGAGAAAUGAUCACUAAUUACGACCAAGAAGGCCGUUUUUCUCUAUGAAAUUCUACUAUGAUGUUAGUUCUAUUAUGAUAAUUAUUAAUGUGGAUAUUGUGAUACUGUCGUGUUAAGACGACCAAAAAGUACGAUUGAGACCAAAAAUAACUAUACGUCUAUUCGUUUUCGAAGAACUCCUAUAUCAGUGCAAGUAGUUAGAGUAAAGCAGGUAUAUUCUUUCACUCUAGAACUUUUUUAUUUUAUUGCAGUAUAUACUAGUUCAAAAGUUCUUUGGAAAUGAACAGGCCUUGUAAUUUUAUAGCUAGAUCAAGCAUUUCUCUCUCUUUCUUUCUCUCUCUCUCUCUCUCUCUCUCUCUCUCUCUCUCUCUCUCUCUCUCUGUCUCUCUCUUGAUGUAUUCUACAUUAAAUGUAUUCCUGGCAAAAACUCACCAAGAUGUCGUACUGAUCGAGCUUGCCGAUCAGGUUGGUGAAGGAACUCCUAUCGGCGAACAACCAGAUACCGACAGUCAACGCCGCACCUCCGGCAAUCUGCAAAGCACAAACUUAAUGUAGUACGUCUCCGUUCUGCAUCGCGGACUUCAAGGCUGGCUCCAAGGAAGCAAGCCCGGUAUUCUGCCCGGUGGCGAAGCGCCGGCAUCGUGCAAUUCACGCGAUCGAAAAGUUUCACCUGCGAUCGCUCUUCGCUCCGUGGCGACCGCAUUGCGAUUCCUUCGAUUCGCUCGAAGAUACCGAGUGACUCAACAACACGGUGCCGGCGCUGCCGGCGCGUGAUGCAGCUGACGAAAUCGUUCAGCGGAAUUAUCUCGAGAUCGCCACUAAUUGCAAAGACUUUGAUUUAUAUUCAGUCGCGAGUGUGUGAGCAGAAAUUUCCUUCAAAAUUUGUAGCGUCUUAUGGAAGAAGAGAUAUCUUUGUGAGGAGAAAUUGAGGAAACGGAGGAAACUUGUCCCCGCAUCUGACAAUUUGUCCGGAAAUUGAAAACCCGCGAGAAUGGAGCACCAUGAAAAUCAUAUAAUUAACAUCGUACACUACCCGAGGCAAGGAUUCGAGCAAAGUGCGUUUACGCGAUUGCGACUGGUUGCGAGGUUGAUAAAUUAUCAGCCGUGUGAUCUUAGCGGCGCGAAAUGCAGACACGGCGGGCUCCUUCGCGCUUGAAGUUACCACUAUAGAAACUCGUUGUGUAUACUCACGAAGAAA